ensembl:lncRNA
AGCAACAUCAAACUGUUCAAACUGUCACAGCUGGACGUGGACAUGAUGUUACUCUGCCUUGUAAAAAUGUGAUACAAGGUCAGCAUAACUGUAACAGUACUACCUGGAUCUUCGGUGAUUCAAGCAGCUCAGUAUCACUCUUUGAACUUGGGCAGAAUAAAGAAGUCAAACGUAAAUCAGACAGACUGAGUGUUUCUGCAGACUGUUCUCUGGUUAUAAAGAAGGUCACAGAUCAGGAUGUUGGUUGUUACACCUGCAGACAGUUCAAAACAAGAGGAGGAUCACAAGAAGGUCCAGACUUUAUGAUUCAUCUGUCUGUUAUUAACAGUGAAGAUGUUACAACAACCAAAUCAACAACAAUGAAGUCCACCACAAAAAUAUCAUCAGCAAGAAAAUCUACAACAUCAACAAUUAAACCAACAUUAAAUAUCAUAAACUUAUGGACAAAAAAUGAGGAAGUAAAGACAUCAGAAGGUAGAAAUUGCAUCAUUUACUGAAGUCUAACGUCUGCAGAUGGACUCUGGGGUUUGGCUGGAGAGUUUCUUGGUUCAGUUUCAUGAAACAACUUAAAAUUUUAAGGUGUUGAAAUGUUCAGUUUUUCAGUAUUACAAACUUUAAGAAUAACACUAUACAUUAUGUGAAACAUAUAUUGUUAAUAAAAAAAUAAUAA